UUUAUUACUUUCAGAUUAAAAUCUCCAAUUAGCGAAACGCAAAAUGAUCGAGCCCGACUUGGACGACACACAUCUCUGCAUCAAAUGCAGCUCUACCAUUGUUGGACUCGAGGCAUAUAUCCAACACCGAAAAACACAAUGCACCAAUCUCAAUAGCACCGCUGCAAGUAGUAAGCGGGAGCACACCACUACGCACACGGUGCACUCGGAAAUAAUAACAACGCCACGUGCACAUCUCGAUCACACCUACGACGCGUUCACGUUUGCCGAGCCGGAGUCGUAUGUCAAAGAUUCAACACACGGUGGUAAAACCUCAAAAUCGCUGUCCGACGCUUACGAGCUGCCAUACGAGCUGGGCGCCGAUGUGUUCUUCUCCUCACUGCAGCUACAAAGCGUACAAGCAGCCGGGCCCUCAACGAGCGGAAAGCAAGGGCUGAGCGCGACGAGUCAAUCGCUGAGCAGUCUGCAGCAGCGACAACAAAAACCCGAUCAUACCGUACAUAUUGGUGCUCCAGAUGAGCCUUGGAUGUCAGAUGCGCAAGCAAGCAGCAGUAAUGUAGAGCAGCAACAAAAAUCCUAUGAAGUUUUUAAACCGCUUACAUUCGUGCACGAAUCACCCGACGCAAGUGAGGAGGAAGAAGAGGAUGUGGAUGUGGAAAUGGAUGAGGAUGAUGAUGACUAUGAUCCGAUAGCAGAUGCGCAUGCGAAUGGUGGCAAAUGGAAACCACCAACAAUGCGUCACUCACCACCGGUGGUGCCCGAGACGCAUACCGGUGGCAAAUGGCGACCCGAAUAUAGACCCGAACUGAAUGUUACACAUGCACAGCUCACACGGCUAUCACCGAACUGGGACGAGGCGGUCGAGGAAGUGGAAAAUGUCGAACUACUUGAAGGUCAGCAUCCGCCUGCCGAACACACGAAAGGUAAAUGGAUACCCGGCACCAAAAUGCAACGGCUCGAAUAUAAGGAGGAAGUAGUCGAAUUAGCCAAGUCGGCAAAUCAAGCAUACUGGUGUAAUAUCUGUUGUCGACGUUUGAAGAGCAAAACAAAUUACGAGAACCAUCUAAAGACCGGUUAUCACCGCAAACGUGCGGAGCCCGAACGGCAGCUCGAAAAGGCGGCGCUAGGCAAUAUACAACGUGUUGAAUUAAGUAAAAGUUUAUUGGCAGCGGCCUUGGCGGAACCCAAACCAACUACCAGCAGCAGUGGUGUUGUAAAAAAGCGUAAACGUCGUGCUACCUACAUUAAAUGUCAACUCUGCAAGCACAGCAUGUUGCGUCAUCUAGUGGGCAAGCACUUGAUAUCGCACUUUCACUACCGACGUAUGCAGCUGAAUCCCACGAAGUCACUGCACAUGAUACUAGACAAUAUACAUUCGGUGGUGCUGCAGUCACCAUUCCAGUGUCGCCCCUGCCGCUUCUAUACGAACACCGAAGAGAUGUUUCUGCAGCACUGGAGCUCGCCCACACAUUUGGACGCCACCGAGGGGCUCGGCAAAUUUUGGUGCAGUUAUUGUCACUUCGAAUGCGAGGACAACAAUCAAAUGCGACGCCAUCUGCUCAGCGCCGAACACAAGGAGGUCAUAUUGGCCAUUAAUCGUUCCGUGCCCAUUUGCAUUAGCAAAAAAUUGAGCAUCGACUGCAAUCGUUGUCGUCAGAGCUUCCGUUACAACGCCGAGUUGCGACGACAUGCCUUGCUCUGUCAUCCCGACAAGGAAUUGUGCGGCACCGCAUCGGACGGCUAUCAAAGUCGUUACAAGUGUGAGUUAUGCGCGGACAGUUUUCGUUCGAAGGUCGCGUUACAACGUCACGAGAAGAACAAGCACAGCAUCAGUAAAUAUUUCUGUUCCAUAUGCAAAUUGGAAUUCAAUACGCCUUGCAAGGCGCGCAGGCAUCGCAAAACGUUGCAGCAUCGGAAUUGUGCCGCAGCAGCGGAGAAGAAUGCGGGUGUGCGACGUGUGGCGUCCGCGAAGGACGUCAAGAGUUGUGAUAAAUGCAAUUUCGUCGCCUCAUCGGAGGUUCAAGCAAUGCUACACGAACUCUCACAUCACAAGAGCGGUAUUACUAUGCGUAAUGUCGUGAUUGCCAAAGCUAGUAGCACCACAAGCACCAGUAAAAACAAUAAACUCACCGAUAAAACACAGAAAUCUAAAGUAAACGAGCAACCCAAACUGAAGUGCAAGGACUGCGAAGAGCUCUUCGCCGAUAAGGCGGCACUUAAAGCACAUCGCGAAACCUCGCAUCCGCUAUUAUGCCACGUCUGCUUGAGUUGUGGUCAGAGUUUUGCGCUGGCUCAAGCGCUCGGCCGUCAUACGCGCAACUGUCAGCCAAAGCCUAGCACUUCGAAGGAAGCACAGGCCCAGCGCGGCACGGCAAGUGACUGGCGCUGCGACAAGUGUGAUUUCAGCGCUGCUUACGAAUCAGAGCUAAUUUUUCAUCGUCUCCACCAUACCCUUGGUCCGAUGGCUAAAAAUCAAAUUAUCGCUUGCCCAAUUUGCACGAAAGAGUUUCGUAAGCAUUCGUUACGUUGCCAUUUGCGACAGCACACGAAUGAGAAGAUCUUCGCUUGUGAAUUGUGUAAAAUGAAGUUUUCACGGCGUCACAAUCUCAAGGAUCACUUGAAGACUGUACAUAAUGUGCCGGCGGCAGUGCCGGCGGCAGUGCCGAAGGAAAUGUCGUCCGCUGGCGAGGAAAUCACAAAAGUGAAGAAGAGAAAAAUUGAUGGCGACAAAUUUGCUUGUGGUCUAUGCUCCAAAGCAUUUAGCACAGAUUACAUGCUGAAAAAACAUGCUGCGAGCCAUGCCACUUUGCCGUCGGAAAACGCUGAAAAUACUUGUAAAUAUGAGAAUUGCAAAUAUGUUGCCGCAAAUGCAACUUUACUGCGCGUUCAUGCAGCAUCACAUGCCAAGGAGCAGCUAAAAUGCAAUGAACCAUCAUGCAACUAUGAAGGGAAAAGUUUGCUGCACUUAAAGAGGCACUCCCGCACCCACCUAGCGCCAUCUAAGUGGUUUACGUGCGACAAGUGUGAAUUCAAGGCGCGCAUCAAGGGCCACCUCAAACGUCACAUGCGCACACACACAGGUGAAAAACCCUUCCAAUGUCGCUACUGUCUCUUCCGCUGCAGUACUUUCGACAAUUUGCGUAAGCAUGUGCUCAAAACUGGCAAGCAUCCGGGCAAAUUCAUCUACGAGUGUGAACAUUGCAACAACGUCGGGCAAAAGAAGUCCUACAAAACCAAUUCAUAUCACGAGUUUCAGGCGCACAAUGCAGAAAUGCAUGGCACGAGAGUGCAGGCUACAUAAGCAGCGCGGACGUAGUAGGAAGGAACGUGUUCUAGUCAAUUUACGCCAGCAAUUAAUAACAUAAGAAUUAACUCCUGAACAGCAGAAGCUGUUAAUUGAGCUACGUCGAAAAAAGCAGG